UACGUAGGGGGCAAGCGUUGUCCGGAAUCAUUGGGCGUAAAGCGCGCGUAGGCGGUCCGGUAAGUCCGCUGUGAAAGUCGGGGGCUCAACCCUCGGAUGCCGGUGGAUACUGUCGGGCUUGAGUACGGAAGAGGCGAGUGGAAUUCCUGGUGUAGCGGUGAAAUGCGCAGAUAUCAGGAGGAACACCAAUUGCGAAGGCAGCCCGCUGGGACGUUACUGACGCUGAGACGCGAAAGCGUGGGGAGCAAACAGG
rnacentral:rRNA from 1 species